ACUAGCCAAGAUGGAAGAACUGAGUAUCAUUAAUCAAGUGGCUGUAACUGACAUUUAUAGCACUCCACCCAACAACAGCGUAAUACAUAUAUUCUUCCAAGGCCACGUGGAACAUAUCUCUAAGACCAUAUCCUGGUUUAUAAAAUAAACUUUAAUGAAUGUAAAAUAACUGAAAUCAUACAAAGUAUGUUUCUGACCAUAAUGGAAUUGAACUAAAAUUCAGUAAUAGAAGGAUAACAGGAGAAUCUGAAAUUGCCUGGAAGUUAAACAACAUAGUCAUAAAUAAAUCACCAAAGAGGAAUUCUCAAGAGAAAUCAGAACAUAUUUUAAAGGGAAGAAAAGUGAAAUUAUAGCAUAUUAAAAUACGUGGGCACAGAUAAUGCAGUGCUUAGAGGGAAAUUUAUUGCAUUGAGUGCUUUUAUUAUGAAAGAAGGUUUCAGAUCAAUAAUCUGAGCAUCCACAGUAACAGAAAACGAUAAGUAAAAUGAACCCACAACUAGCAGAACAAAGGAAGACAAAAAGCAGACAUCAAUGAAAUUGAAAACAAAAAUGGAAUAUGAAUGAAGCCGGGAGCUGUUGCUUCGAAAAAAUUAUUGAGAAACCUCUAGUAAGACUGAACGUUUUUAAAAAAGAAGCCAUGCGUAUCAACAUCAGGAAUGCAAGGAUUUACAUUUUACUGAUUUUUUUUUUAAUAGGGUCUCACUUUGUCACUCAGGCUAGAGGGCAGUGGCGCAAACACGGCUCACUGCAGCCUUGAACUCCUGGGCUCAAGUGAUCCUCUCACCUCAGCCCCCCAAGCGGCUGGGACUACAGGCACGUGCCAUCACGCCCAGCUAAUUUUUGUAUUUUUUGUAGAGAUGGGGUUUCGCCAUUUUGCCCAGGAUGGUCUCGAACUCCUGGGUUCAAGGGAUCCCAAAGUCAGGCAUGAACUGUGCCUGGCCUUACUGAUUAUUAGUGAUGUUACCAUCUUUUUCUUAUUAAUCAGUCAUCUUUACUUCUUUGAUGAAUGGUCUGCUUAUGUGCUUUGCCAAUCCUUUAUUUUGGAAAAAAAUGUAGAAAAGCGCACUGACUUUUUUUAAGUGAGUUUCUUUCUGUCUUACUGAUCUUGUUAGGGUCUCUCUAUAUAUCUGAUAUACAUCUUCGGAUAGAUAUUUUGUGAAUAUUUUAUACAGCUCAUUGCUUUCCUUUAUGCUUUCUUUUGUCUUAUGGAAAAUACCAAUUUGCAUACUCAAAUCUCAAACUUUUCCCUUACAGAUGGGGGACUUUGUGUCACUUUCAGAAAGACCCUUUGAUUAUAAAAAAUGCAAUAUUGUCUUCCAAUGUUUUAGAAGAAAAACUUUGCUUCUAGUUUUAGCUCUUUAAUCCAACUGAAGUUAAUUUUUUUGAAUAUGAAGUAAAAAUUCAACCUUCCCUUUUUUUUGAGACUAAGUCUCACUCUGUUGCCCAGGCUGGAGUGGAGUGGUGUGAUCACAGCUCACUGCAGCCUCGACCUCCCUGGGCUCAUGUGAUCCUCCCACCUCAGCCUCCCCAUCACUGGAACUACAAGCAUGAACUACCACGCCUGGCUAAUUUUUGCAUUUUUUGUAGAGAUGGGGUUUUGCCAUGUUGCCCAGGCUGGUCUCGAAUUCCUGGGCUCAAGCCAUCUGCUGGCCUCAGCCUCCCAAACUACUGAGAUUACAGGCGUGAGCCACCCUGCCUGGCCCAACCUUCCUUUUUUAAUCAAAUGGGUAGCAGAUGGGUUUAACACCAUCUGUGAACAGUCCUUACUGAUAUAAAGUGUUACAUCAUUUAAAAAAAAAAUUCUUGGGAAGGUUUCUUAGAUACAUGGGAAGGUUUCUAGAUGCUGCUCUUCUGUGGAUCAGUUUGGACAAACCUGAGCUCACUAUAUUCUUUUAAACUGCAAAAUAAGUUUUGCAGUUUAUUUUAUAUCUGGGAGGCCAAGUCUCCACAUGCCCACCUUGUUCUCUUUUCUUGGUUAUUUUCUAAAUAUGAACUUUAAAAUGAGCAUGUCAAAUUCUAUUUUUAAUUCCAUUUGGCAGUUUCAUUAAACUGCACUGAAUUUACUAAUUUUGGAAGAUUAACAGCUUUCUAAUAUUGAGUCUUUUUAUCCCCAAAUAUAGUAUGUCUCCAUUUAGGUCGGUCUUCCUAUAUUUAUUUCAGCAGGAUUUAAAGUUUUCAUGAAUAAAAAGUCUUGCACACCUCUUGUUGGAUUUGCUCCCUACUUCCAUCAAAUUUUCUAAAUGGUUCCUGCCAAUGUAUAGGGAAAGGCCUAAAUUGGAAGGAAAAUUAUUACCUUUUCUGAUAAAUGAGAGGAGCAUAUCAGUGAAAACAAAAAUUAAGGAUGCUGUUUAACUAAAUUAUUUUGCAAUUACCUCAAAAGAGAACUAGAAAUGACCCAAUUGGAAAUGACCCAGUUCAUCAAUAAGAAACUGGCUAAAGAAAACAUUAUUUCCACAAAAUGGAACCCUAUGCAGCCUUUAAUGAGAAAGCUCUCAAUGUACUGAGAAGUGGAAAAGCUCCAAGAUAGAGUUUAGGUGUACAAAAGAUGGUGUAUGUAACAUGUUAUCUUUUAAGAAAGGGAAGGCUAAUAAAAAUAUCUGUAUCUACAUUAAGAACCUCUGGGAGGAUUCACAAACUAACUAGUGGUUACCUGCAGGGCUAGAGGAAGAAAUGGAGUGAUGGGAUGGGCAGGGAGCCUUCAGUGUUCACCUUCUCAUGCGGCUUUGAUUUUUAAACCAUUAAGAAUGCAUUAGCCAUUAAAAAAUAAUCCUAGAGAAAACAAAAGAGAAACAGAUACAAACACCCACUCUUCAAAGAUAUGCCCUCCCACUGAAGAUUCUCAGCUGUGUGAUUCUUAAGCUAGACUAAUAACUGAGCCACCUGGGAGGUCCUGUAAGUGAAUGUUCUUUGGGCUCUUGCUCGGAGCUUCCCACUCAGGAGGCCACUGUCUGGCAGCGGAGAGGAGAACAGCGCGGGGCCCCUCCACUGCCUGCUGGUCUGGAAUGGGGCUCUGGCACAUUACAAUAUUUAAAACUCUGCAUGCAAUUUUUGGAUGAUAAGGUAUAAAUCCUGGAUUUUCACCAAAACAAUGAACUUUUUCUAGGAACAGAAUUUUGACAUGAUUCUGUUAACCCACAAUAAAAUACACAGUACAGCAUCUUCAGACUGCUGCUGAUGUUCUGCUCCACUUUCUUCCACAGCAGGGACUGUCACCGGGGAUUCCCAUGACGUGUACGUCAUAAUGCGACGCUCCAGAAGCCUGUGUGACUGCUACUUGUAGAAUAAAAGGACACAGUCUUCAUGGCUACCAUAAAAUUGAUGGCCAAUAUUACAAUAAAAAUAUAAACCAUAAAUCUCUUUUAAAAAGUUGUGCAUUUUAAAUGGUUGGGCUUCCUGCUCUGUAAGUGGGAGUGUAAAUUGGUCAAGUUCUUCAGAGGGCAAUGUACCUUUAUUGAUAUUUAAAGAGUAUGCCUUUGAUUUAGCAAUUUUGCUCCUAAAAGUUUUCUGAUACAUCCAUAUGUGCAGAUACACUCAACAAAGGUGUUCACAUGGUGCAGGACACGGAUCAGACUGUGUCACAUCCACACUGCCUGCCUCUAGUCAUAAGCUGGACCUUGGCAGGGGGGAAAUUCAAAAAAGGAAAGCGUGGAACAGUCUCAAAGCAUGCUAAGAACACAAAUGGGUCAGGUGUCGUGGUUCACGCCUAUAAUCCCAAUACUUUGGGAGGCCGAGGCGGGAGGAUUGCUAGAGCCCAGGAAUUCAAGACUGGCCUGGGAAGCAUAGCGAAAUUCCAUCUCUACAAAACAAAACAUUAGCCAGACAUGGCAGUGCACAACUGCGGUCCCAGCUACUUGGGAGGCUUGAGGUAAGAGGAUUGCUUGAGCCCCGGAGGUUGAGGCUGCAGUGAGCUGUGAUCGCACCACUGCACUCCAGGCUGGGUGACAGACUGAGAUCCUGUCUCAAAAAUAAAAAUAGAAACCCACAAAUGGAAGGACACUCUGCCUCCAGUAUUUUCAUAUGAAAAGGGGUGUUUAGAGAAGUGUGUCUGAGGUCCUCAUGCGAGCAGUUCAAGGGGCUAAGGGGUUGGCUGUGGGAGGUGAGCCUGCGUCUGCAGCUAGGAAUUUUACUGUGCACAUAUGCUUUUGAUUUUACUAAUGAAAGAUGGUCCAAACCAGUUAAGGAUGACUAUUUUGGUCAUGUCGGGUGGCUCACACCUGUAAUCCCAGCACUUUGAGAGGCCGAGGUGGAUCACUUGAGGUCAGGAGUUCGAGACCAGCCUGGCCAACAUGGUGAAACCCUGUCUCUACUAAAAAUACAAAAAUUGGCCGGGCGUAGUGGCAGGCACCUGUACUCAGGAGGCUGAGGCAGGAAAAUCACUUGAACCCAGGAGGCGGAGGUGGCAGUGAGCCAAGAUCACACCACUGCACUCCAGCCUAUGCAACAAGAGCAAAACUCCAUCUCCCAAAAAAAAAAAAAAAAAAAAAGAUGACUAUUUUGUGAAAAUUAACAUCGCUAUUAGUUAAUGUUUUACUGUUCUUAACACUUAGGUAUUGACUAAUACCUAUGACAGCUGCUGCAUCCAUUUCUGUUUCAUUGUUUUAGAGCUUCAGGAUUUCAGAAGAACUGAGGAGUUCCUCUGUGUCCAGGUUGCUGUCUGGUCUUUGACGAGAACCUGGGAAGUCUGGACCAAGCACAUACUUCCUGGCAACAGCCUCCUAGGACAGCCUCUCAUGCUGCCCCAUGGACAAUGCAUGGCAACCCAGCCUGCCCCUGCGUUGCCCUCAGGCCUUGACCCGUGAUCACUUGUGGAUACUUACACUCAGCCCCCGUUUGUCAUCUGUGCUUUCUACAAUGACCACAUAGCUAAAUGUUUCCUUGAAGCCCAGCUCAAGUAUUCCUUUGCCGUGUAGUGUCACCCAGCCAUGGAACAAACCUGUAUAAUGUCACCCAGCCAUGGAACAAACCAGAGUAAAGUAUCAUCCCCACAGAAGAUCCCUGUGAACAAACACCAGACUCUGUGCCUAAACUUCAGGCCACUAGACGUUUCCUAAAAUGUAACUACAUAUGGUAGAAGUCUGGAGCAACAGGCUAGCAUUUAAAGCCAAAAUUAUUCCUGGAAAUAAAAAAGAGGAAAAGAGGAUAGCCAGUAGUAGAAUAAUUGCAUAGUUACAGAUUAAAGAAAAAUUCAUGAGUGAAUAAUGAAAUUUUUCUUCUACUGUUGCUCAAAGACUAAGUAGAGAUGAGUAGCACAGCUGAGGGCUAGCGUGGGUCAAUAGUUUAUUGGCAGACAGCACAGGAAUGCCGCCAGAAUGAAUACACUAACUGCUGCAGCUAGAAAGGCAGAUCCAAUCACAUAGUGUGGAGAACAGCCUCCCCAUGAAGGCCUCACAGGCUUAUCCAAUUUCCAUGGAGUUUUCCACAGAAGUUUCACGACAGUGCCCUUCAGCAUGAAGGAGCACACCAGAUUAUUGCAAGUUUAAGAAAUGGAGGGCCAGGUGUGGUGGCUCACGCCUAUAAUCCCAAGGCUUUGGGAGGCCAAGGUGGGAGGAAUGCUUUAGGCCAGAAGUUUGAGACCAGCCUAGGAAACACAGAGGCAAGACAUAAAAAAAAAUUAGCCAGGUGCAGUGGUGCAUGCCUGUAGUCCCAGCUACUCAGGAGGCUGAGGCAGAAUUGCUUGAGCCUAGGAGGUUGAGGCUGUGGUGAGCUAUGAUUGUGCCACUGCACUCCAGCCUGGGUGACAGCAAGACUGUGUCUCUGAAAAUUAAAACAAACAAACAACAACAACAACAAACAAAAAAAGGAAUGGCUCAACCCCCCUUGUAUACAGUUACAUAUGGUCCGGACAAGCAUGCAUCAAAGUUAAAUGUUGCCUUUACAGUAAAAUACAUUCUUCAAAUAGAGUAGUUUGAAGAUGAUAUCUUCAAAUUUGUAGAGAUGAUUUAAAGUAAAUAUGCCUCAUGUUACUACAUUGGCAGGAGUGUUUUAAAACCAGUGCAACAAGGGGUACCAGCCCUCCAAAGCCAUGCUGGCUAUGUAUAGCAGGCUGAUGGUCCUGGUAUCCCUGCUAAAGGUACAACUGCCCCUGGGCCAGGGAAUAGCACUUCUGUACAACUGGACACAUGCUGGGAAGUCACUGUCUCCAAUGCUUCACGAAAGACACAUUUUGCUGUUUUAGCACAUAUCAGAAAACCAACUUUAUAUGAUUGCAAGAUAUGAAAAACAUAAAUAGCCUUGGCUUUGUUAAGUUCCCAAUGGUAUGGAAAUUUCAUAAAAUUUUUAGAAAAUGCUAUUGUCAAAGAUGCAUACUGACCAAUUUUUUUUUUUUAUUUUUUAUUUUUAUUUUUUUUUAGAUGGAGUCUUUCUCUGUUGCCCAGGCUGGAGAACAGUGGCAUGAUCUUGGCUCACUACAACCUCUGCCUCCUGGGUUCAAGCAAUUCUCCCACCUCAGCCUCCCAAGUAGCUGGGACUACAGGCGCCCACCACCACGCCUGGCUAAUUUUUGUGUUUUUAGUAGAGACGGGGUUAUACCAUGUUGGCCAGGCUGGUCUCGAACUCCUGACCUCGUGAUCCACCCACCUCAGCCUCCCAAAGUGCUGGGAUUAGAGGCGUGAGCCACCGCGCCCGGCCCUGAGUAUUUUUGGGUGAAAUGACAGAUGCCUCGGAUGUUUUCAAGUACCAUAGUAUGAAAACGCUGGGUAAAGAUAAAGAAAACAAGAUCGCAAAAUGUAGGCAAUUGUUAAAGCUGGCUGAUAUAGUGGUUCAUUAGGCUAUUUUUCUCUACAUUUGAAAAUCUGUUAUAAAAAAUUUAUAAGUAUAUAAAGGGAGAAUCUAUAUAAUUCAUAAUAUAAAUUUAUAUUUAUAUUAUAUUAUACCUGGGGGGGGCCAGGCAUGGUGGCUCAUGCCUGUAAUCCCAGCACUUUGGGAGGCUGAGGUGGGAAGAUCCCUUGAGGCCAGGAGUUUGAGACCAGCCUGGGUAACACAGUGAGACCCUCCCUGUCUCUACAAAAAAUAAAAUUAAAAAAAAAAGAAAGAAAAAGAAAAAAAAUGAGGGGGAUAUAUGAAGGAAAAAAGUACAUAAAUGCUCUUUUAAAAGAAAAAAACAGAUUCCCUAACCACAUUAUUUUCUAUCAGUAGGUAGUAGGUAGUGUUUUCUAAACUUUGAGGCUGGUGACCAACAACUUGGGUCACUUGUCCUACUGAAAGUGGUAGAUCUUGUGUUCUCAGAUAAAUUCCUCUAAAAUUCUAAAACAACCCUUUAAAGAAAUAAAUACAAUAGGGAAGUAACCAAGUCAACAAGUGGGACAAACUCAGACUGUACGUACAGGAGUAGUUAGAUGGAUCAGGAAAGAGGUGCUUCACAAAUGGCACCACAAAAUAUUAAAAAUUCACAGGUUUUUUUUAAAGCACCUCUAAUGUGCCUCUCCAAAAACAUAAAAAGAUGUCAGAAAAUAAGGAAACAUCAUCUGCUGUGUCACAGUACAAAUUACAAAUCAUUUAGGUUUCUAAUUUUAGCAUCAGAUUCUUUAAAUACUAUUAUUGAUCUGCUAAGAA
rnacentral:lncRNA from 1 species